GAACGCUCGUAGCAAUACGGGAGUGGCAGACGGGUGAGUAACGCGUGGGAACAUACCCUCCGGUUCGGAAUAGCUCAGGGAAACUUGGAUUAAUACCGGAUACGGCUGAGAGGCGAAAGAUUUAUCGCCGGAGGAUUGGCCCGCGUUCGAUUAGCUAGUUGGUGAGGUAACGGCUCACCAAGGCGAUGAUCGAUAGCUGGUCUGAGAGGAUGAUCAGCCACAUUGGGACUGAGACACGGCCCAAACUCCUACGGGAGGCAGCAGUGGGGAAUAUUGGACAAUGGGCGCAAGCCUGAUCCAGCCAUGCCGCGUGAGUGAUGAAGGCCCUAGGGUUGUAAAGCUCUUUUGUGCGGGAAGAUAAUGACGGUACCGCAAGAAUAAGCCCCGGCUAACUUCGUG
rnacentral:rRNA from 1 species